UACGUAGGGAGCAAGCGUUGUCCGGAAUCAUUGGGCGUAAAGCGCGCGUAGGUGGCCCUGUAAGUCCGUUGUGAAAGUCAAAGGCUCAACCUUUGAAAGCCGAUGGAUACUGCAGGACUAGAGUACGGAAGAGGCGAGUGGAAUUCCUGGUGUAGCGGUGGAAUGCGCAGAUAUCAGGAGGAACACCAAUAGCGAAGGCAGCUCGCUGGGACGUUACUGACACUGAGGCGCGAAAAGCGUUGGGGGAGCGAACAGG
rnacentral:rRNA from 1 species